AGGGUUUGAUCAUGGCUCAGAUUGAACGCUGGCGGAAUGCUUUACACAUGCAAGUCGAACGGCAGCACGGACUUCGGUCUGGUGGCGAGUGGCGAACGGGUGAGUAAUAUAUCGGAACGUAUCCAAUAAUGGGGGAUAACUAAUCGAAAGGUUGGCUAAUACCGCAUACGCCCUACGGGGGAAAGCUGGGGACCUUCGGGCCUGGCGUUAAUGGAGCGGCCGAUAUCUGAUUAGCUAGUUGGUGGGGUAAAGGCCCACCAAGGCGACGAUCAGUAGCUGGUCUGAGAGGACGACCAGCCACACUGGAACUGAGACACGGUCCAGACUCCUACGGGAGGCAGCAGUGGAGAAUUUUGGACAAUGGGCGAAAGCCUGAUCCAGCCAUUCCGCGUGAGUGAAGAAGGCCUUCGGGUUGUAAAGCUCUUUCGCAAGGGAAGAAAGAUUACUCUCUAACAUAGAGUGAUUAUGACGGUACCUUGAUAAGAAGCACCGGCUAACUACGUGCCAGCAGCCGCGGUAA
rnacentral:rRNA from 1 species